rnacentral:rRNA from 1 species
UACAGAGGGCUCAAGCGUUGUUCGGAUUCAUUGGGCGUAAAGGGUGCGCAGGCGGCCAAGUGUGUGAGGCGUGAAAGCCUGGAGCUUAACUCCAGAAUUGCACCUCAAACUACAUGGCUAGAGCAUUGGAGAGGGUAGCGGAAUUCACGGUGUAGCAGUGAAAUGCGUAGAUAUCGUGAGGAACACCAGAGGCGAAGGCGGCUACCUGGACAAUUGCUGACGCUCAGGCACGAAAGCGUGGGGAGCAAAAGGG